UACGUAGGGGGCAAGCGUUGUCCGGAUUUAUUGGGCGUAAAGAGCGUGUAGGCGGCUAGAUAGGUCCGUUGUGAAAACUCGAGGCUCAACCUCGAGACGCCGGUGGAAACCAUCUAGCUAGAGUCCGGAAGAGGAGAGUGGAAUUCCUGGUGUGAGCGGUGAAAUGCGCAGAGUAUCAGGAAGAACACCCGUGGCGAAGGCGGCUCUCUGGUACGUGACUGACGCUGAGACGCGAAAGCGUGGGGAGCGAACAGG
rnacentral:rRNA from 1 species